rnacentral:tRNA from 1 species
GAAUGAGGUUGGAACACCAAGAACUGCUAAUUACUUGCUACCGUGGUUCAACUCCACGGCUUAUUCG